GCCCUCGUAGCUCAGUGGAUAGAGCGGCGGACUCCUAAGCCGCGCGUCGGAGGUUCGAUUCCUCUCGGGGGCACCA
rnacentral:tRNA from 2 species